GAUGAACGCUAGCGACAGGCCUAACACAUGCAAGUCGAGGGGUAGAACACUUCGGUGUUUGAGACCGGCGCACGGGUGCGUAACGCGUAUGCAAUCUACCUUAUACAGGGGAAUAGCCCAGAGAAAUUUGGAUUAAUGCCCCAUAGCAUUACGACUUGGCAUCAAGAUGUAAUUAAAGUUCCAACGGUAUAAGAUGAGCAUGCGUCCCAUUAGUUAGUUGGUAAGGUAACGGCUUACCAAGACAAUGAUGGGUAGGGGUCCUGAGAGGGAGAUCCCCCACACUGGUACUGAGACACGGACCAGACUCCUACGGGAGGCAGCAGUGAGGAAUAUUGGUCAAUGGGCGCAAGCCUGAACCAGCCAUGCCGCGUGCAGGAAGACGGUCCUAUGGAUUGUAAACUGCUUUUAUACAGGAAGAAACAUCCCGACGUGUCGGGACUUGACGGUACUGUAGGAAUAAGGAUCGGCUAACUCCGUGCCAGCCGCCGCAGUAAGAC
rnacentral:rRNA from 1 species